GAUGACCUUAGGAAGGUUUCCACGGUGGGCGUCACCUUCCCCACAGUUUCCUGUGGUGGGGUCCACUCCAGCUUUGGGUAUGCCUCAUUCUUUCGAUGAUGCCCUAAAAUAAUCUCUAUAAAUGGAUGGACAUACAUACAUCAUGGUGGGCCCAUAGAACUUGAUGACCUCACUUCAGUAGCCAGUCUCGCUACUUACAGUAGCUAAUCCGCGUCUGUUUAUGGUACACCACCCAAUCUGCUUCUCUAUAAUCAUCAACUCUCAUGACCUUUUAUAGUUUAAAACCAGGACAACGGAAGAACAAUCCAUUUCCAAUGGAAGACGAUCUGAGCUCCUGGAUGAUCGUGCUGUACGAGCUCCCUUAAAUGCUGAAAGAAAGCCGUAGGAGUGAUUUCAGGAGGGAUCAGGAUUAGGAGCAUAAGGAAAAUCACAGAGUGAGGAUGGAGGUCAAAGAUAUGGAUCUUUUGUCCAUUAGGGGACUAAGCUUCAAAUAUAUCACCAAACUGCAAUGAUAGGAGAAAGCAAAAGCUCAGAAAGAAACUAUUGAUGGCAGACUAAGAGGGAGAUUUGUUUGAAGGUUAGUGUUGAUUUCAAAGUCUACUCCUUAGAAGAUGUUUCUGCAUGGGUAACUUCAUGAUGUUGCUGGGUGGAGUUACGAAAAUGAUUCGGUGCUCUGUCUUGUUACUUCUAUCUUCAAAAUCGUGGUGGAUAUGGUUCUCAGUUGGUGGUAAGAAAGAGGGACUGUUAUGGUACAUCAUCUAUUGAAUGCCUUUUUUGGUUCCUCUAAAGCAAUCGUGUGGCGUAGGAUAUGGGGUAUCACGUUGAUGGUACAGGAGGAGGUGGAAGAAGCUUGGAAAAGAAAUUGCCACUCCUUGACAGAAAAAAAGGGAGCCCACCAUGUCUGUAUCUUAAAUGUAAUUUACUAAUCUGAUAUAAUGCAUCUGUAGCUUGAAUGGAAAAGCUCUUCUCAGCUGUAUAUAUUCCAAGGACCAUCGGAGUUGAUGCCACUUAAUCAUUUGUGUUAUGGAGAGGAAGCUUAUCCAGCAUCGGGCAUCCUUGAAUCUUCAACUUCUUCGGCAUCGGCACGUGCCCACCAUGAAUUCUUUUCAAUUUGUGUAACUCCUAAAGACGUAAAUCAACUAGCUGUGGAAGGAAAUGCAUUUUGCCCCACCACGUUGUCUUCUACAAAGACCUUUUCCGGUCUACAACAGAAUUUUAUUGCAAGUAAUUUGAGAUUCUGUAACUGAAUGC